rnacentral:rRNA from 1 species
GAUGAACGCUAGCGAUAGGCUUAACACAUGCAAGUUGAGGGGUAACGUGUUGGAAGCUUGCUUCCGAUGACGACGACCGGCGGAUGGGUGCGUAACGCGUAUGCAACUUGCCUCACAGUGGAGAAUAACCCGGAGAAAUCCGGACUAAUACUCCAUACACUCUUAAGUACGCCUGUACAUGAGAGGAAAGAUUUAUCGCUGUGAGAUAGGCAUGCGUCCUAUUAGGUAGUUGGUGAGGUAACGGCUCACCAAGCCGACGAUAGGUAGGGGUGCUGAGAGGCAGAUCCCCCACAUUGGGACUGAGACACGGCCCAAACUCCUACGGGAGGCAGCAGUGAGGAAUAUUGGUCAAUGGAGGAAACUCUGAACCAGCCAAGUCGCGUGAAGGAAGAAUGUCCUAAGGAUUGUAAACUUCUUUAGCGAGCGAGUAAGGACUUCCACGUGAUGGGAGUUUGAAAGUAGCUCGAGAAUAAGUAUCGGCUAACUCCGUG